GUGUCGCAAGCAUCUGAGUAGUAAAGUUGCCUUCAACAUUGAGAUUUCGCUUAACCGAAUUUUCGCUGUCCCGGACAUCAAGCUGAUCUUCAACGGUAAUUAUUGCUGCACACGUUCUGUACCGCUUGCGCGACGCUGUGGGUUUUAUCUCGGCUAGGAAAAGAACUGCAAACACUAAUUUGCAUAUUUGCGCAUUGCACAUGAGCGAGGAUUGGCCCCAGCACUUCCCACCGAGGGGAACAGUACCAGAUGCCGAGGUGUAUGAUCAGCUUAUCAGCGCGUCUACGCUGCAGUGGUGGUAUGCCAAUGCGCACCUCACAGUAAAGGGUGAGGACGACUCGUCCCUGGCGUUUUUUGCUUCCUUCUUCAGGCAGGCUGGGGACAACUGUCCGACAGCCACUACGAAGUACUACGACGCUUGCGUGUGGGCCCUUAUUGACUUGGAAAACAUGAAAUGCUAUGCGGAUAGCGCGCUUGACCCCGAGUCAAUCGACCAGCUGAAGCUUCGCCUUGAUCCGGCAGUUAUGGGUCGGAAGUUGGAGCACGUGGAGGUCGCGCUACUGGAGCUUCUCAACAAGGGGCGUGUGCCGCGCCCAGAUCGUCUCCUGAAGGGGAAGGCGGUUUACACACAGCAGCCCUUUAGCAUCGCACUGGACGACAGCUGCGUGAUGCGGAUCGCACAAGAGGGAUCAGCGCGGCGCUAUACUUUCUCAAUGACGAACGCGGCGGAUGAGGUGUACGUGGAGGUGUGCUUGGAGACGCAGCAGCAGCCAGUGUUGCAUGGAAAGGAUGGCCGUGUGAACGGCAUGUACUACUACUACUUCCCGUCGAUGAGUGUGACGGGGUAUGUUGUGGUGAAGGGUGUGAAGCGCGAGGUGACGGGUUUGGGGUGGUAUGACCGUGAGCUGGGGGGGUCUACCUCUGAAGUCGAUAAGGAGGCCAAGUACAGUUGGUCGUGGCUGUCUCUUCAUGCCUCGAACAUGUCGCAAUUGAGCAUUUUCCACAUUGCAGGUAACAAUGAAUCUGAGGCGGGAGAGAGAGCUGCCGUGGAGACGCGAGCGGAUGGCAGUCGCCAUUACCACGACGAUGUGAUCAUAGAGACGAAUAAGACGUGGUCAAGCCUUGUUACGUUCAUGCAGUAUCCGUCUGAGUUUCGCCUAUGCUCGGCGUCGAUGGGACUGGACGUGACGAUGCACACGGCCUUUGCUGCGCAGGAGAUCGGCACAGUUCUGGUUGGCGGUGCAGGAUUCUACGAGGGUGUCGUGGAGGGCAGUGGCGUGUGCGGCGGAGACGCCGUGACGUUGCGUGGCUUCUUUGAGCACAAGAAGAAAGCCUCACCGUAUAACAACACGUCGGAGCUGCUGAAGUACGUUGGGUCGUAUGUGCAUGGCGCGCUCGAGGAGAUUUAUCCGCUGACCGCGUCUGAUUCUUGGGUGUCUGAGAAUGUACUGGGGCGCUAUGCGAUGAAUCGAGGGGCGCCUGCGGACAAGAUCUGUGAAACUCUGUUCCGGCCUGUGCGCUCCAUCAUCGACCGUGGCGGCAAGUCGUGGCGCAGCCUGAUCCUCGUGAGCUGCUGCAAUGCGUUGUCUCGUCAGUACUUCGACUGCCGCCGCUACAUUGCGGUAGCCGAGCUGCUGCACGUGGGGUCGCUGAUCAUCGACGACAUUCAGGACAACUCCGUGGUGCGCCGCGGCGGCAAGUGUGUGCACGUGGAGUACGGCGUCCCGACGGCCAUCAACGCUGGCAGUGCUUGCUACUUUAUGGGGCCACGUGCCGCCCGCAUCCAGGACCUCCCGCCGGAGAAGGCCAGCCGCAUCUACCAGCUGUACUUCGACGUGCUGCUCGCUGGGCACGCGGGCCAAGGCUUGGAUAUCUACCGCCUCGACUACCUGAUGCCUAAAGUCGUAGAGACCGGCGAUGCGAGCACGCUGUUCGAUGCGCUCGAUGCGAUUCACACAUACAAAACGGGCGGUGCAGUAGGAGCGCUCUGCUCCAUGGCGUGUGUGCUCUGUGAGGCGCCUACGGUUUUGUCGGAGGCUGUGGAGAGGUUCGGCCUCGCGCUGGGUCUCGCAUUCCAGAUCGUGGACGACGCGCUAAACAUCCGCGGCUUUGAAGGAAAUCUGAAGGAGGAAGCGGAAGACAUCAAGGACGGUAAGAUUACAUACCCUAUCGCCAUCGCGAUGGGCCGUCUUGAGGCCGUGGACCGGCAGACACUCUGGGCAAUUCUGCGGAAGCCGACAAAGGAAGCGGCAGACAUCCUACAGGCAGUGGAACUCAUCAUGAAAGUUGACGCUACAUCGGAGUGCUUUCUGAUUGCGCGCCACCGCCUUCAGGAGAUGUGGAACGCCCUGGACCCGCUACUCGAGGACUCCUUUCCGAAGCUGCUGAUGCGCACAUUCUGCUCUUUUCUUGUGGAGCGCACGUACUGAGCACGUCGCAAUUUAGCGGAGAGGCGUAGUGUCUCCGCUGCACUCACAGCCUGGUAUGAAGGAAGGCGCGACAGUGCGAUGAGAGCGAAGGGACGAGGUGGUGCGGUUGUUGAACGUCACAACUGUGCAGACAAACCCCUCGUCGAAUGGUGAUUAAUGCAUCAAUGACCUUCUUUUUGUUGCAGUAUUAGUUUGUCCCCGAUAAGGGGGAACGCCUCAGUGCGUGGUAUCCGCGGUCCAGUACCCCCACUCUGUGGGAAUGCCGAGCAGCCGCCCGCCCCUGUCCCCCGCCCCUGUCCCCCGCCAGUGCCGAGGCACUUCUGCUGCUGAUAGGGCCAGGCACCUACGGCGUGUGGGAGGUCAGAGCGACUUAUCGCUACUGAUGUCGGCGGCCGGGUGCUGGAUGGCGCUGCGCCGGAGCGACCUGUGAUUGUGAGCAUAUUUGUGCCAUCCAUAUGAUGGCUAGAGUGUGAGCGUGACUCGAGCGUAUUUCGCCCGGCCCUCACUGCCCUGCUAGCGAGGGCGCUUGUGUGCCACCCGGAGGGUGAUGCGCCGGGUGGCGAGCAGCACAAUGGGAAGCGACUGUGAGGCAGCCUGCUUGGUGGGCGGGUGGGCAGAGUUUGAGGCAGAGACGGCGCUCCGAUGACUGUGUCGGCGCAUUGCUGUAACGCGCUUCUAGCGCUGCUUCGCACCGCGCGGAAUGGGGGCCUGUGACAGGCUGUGAGGGGUAGGGUGGAGUGGAGCUCGUGCUGUAUGGCGGAGGAUGGGCGCGCCGAAAAGAAAGAAAAAGACAGUGUGAGUUUUCUUUGAGCCUGGCGCUCAAUGGCUUGUGCUGCGGUCUCGUCUUUACGUCUGUUUCACCUGUACGUUUUUUCUUGUACUGCAGUGCUGCACUCACUAGACUAUCUGUUGCUCUAGCGUGUGUUUACAGAACCGGCCAAGGAUUGCUGUCCUUUAUUGUGGGUCGCGUCUGUCUGCUACAGACUUCUGUUUUCCGAAUCGAUACCAAGCAUAUACGAGUGCAGUGGCCGUUGCUUGGAAGAGCCACACACUCAAACAAAGCGGGCCCUGCUUGCUGCGCCGUAAUAUGGUCGCCAGAAAGGAAAACGCCUAGUCUCUGCAACGUGACGAGGUAGCGAGAGAAGUGUCAGCCGUGAUACGCUGGUUGCCGAAUGUAAGCACCAUAUCCUCUUUUGGAGGCUUUCUUGCGGCACGCUGCUGCCACGGCAGGUGGGCAGGAGUGUGAUGCGGGCGGGGGACUGCAGUCUGCACUCGACGCCACGACGCCAUCCUUUCGUACUUUCCAAAAUGUUUCCUUUACUCCGUCUUUUUCCCAG
rnacentral:misc_RNA from 1 species